rnacentral:rRNA from 1 species
UUAUUAAAGGCGAUCUUUUUUUCAACCGAGGAAGACCCAUAUGGUCUCCUUUUUUUUUCUAGAAGCCAAAAGUAAAACGCACAUUAGGGUAAGGGGGCACAUUUUUAGGGGGGGUGCGUUCGGGGGGGCGGUUUUUGGACUGCCAAUUGUAGGGAAGGGGAUUGGUUUGGGGUUCUGUGGGAUGCGCUGGAUGUGGAAACGGGAUUUUUUCUUGUGGAAAGAGGCAUGACCAGGAGUGCCCCACGCUCAGAAUUACCUCCCUCAAAAGGGAUAAGUCCGGCGGGUUAAAAGAAAUUCCCUUUUCCUGGCUGAAGUGAAGUCAUAUCAAUAAGCGGAGGAAAAGAAACUAACAAGGAUUCGUGUAGAAACUGCGAGUCAAGCGGGAAGAGCGCGUAUCUGAAAUCCGGCAGCUCUCUGAGAGAUUCGAGUUGUAAUCUAGAGAAGUGUUACCUGUGCUGGACCGUGUACAAGUCUCUCAGAAUGGAGCGUCACAGAGGGUGAGAAUACGGUCUCAAGCACGGGCUGCGCUGCAUGUCUAUCGUGCGCUCUCUAAAGAGUCGAGUUGUUCGGGAAGCCAUCUCAAAAUGGGUGGUAAACUCCAUCUAAAGUUAAAUAUUGGUGAGAGACCGAUAGCGAUCAAGUACCGUGAGGGAAAGAUGAAAAGAGCUUUGGAAAGAGAGUUAAACAGUAAGUGAAAUUGUUGAAAGGGAAACGCUUGAAGUCAGUCGCGUCGGAUAGAAAUCCACCUAGCUUUUGCUAGGUGUACUUUCUUGCUGAUGGGUCAGCAUCAAUUUUGACCGUUAGAUAAAGACGUGAGGAACGGGGCAUCUUAGGAUGUGUUAUAGCCUCUCGUAGCAGUGUGAUGGUAGGGACUGAGGAUCUCAGCAUGCCUUUCCUGGUCGGGGCUCUAAGUCCACGUGACAUGCUCAGGAUGCUUGCAUAAUGGCUUGAACCGACCCGUCUUGAAACACGG